rnacentral:rRNA from 1 species
UACGUAGGGAGCAAGCGUUGUCCGGAAUCAUUGGGCGUAAAGCGCGCGUAGGUGGCCUCAUAAGUCCGCUGUGAAAGUCAAAGGCUCAACCUUUGAAAGCCGGUGGAUACUGUGAGGCUAGAGUACGGAAGAGGCGAGUGGAAUUCCUGGUGUGGCGGUGAAAUGCGCAGAUAUCAGGAGGAACACCGGUGGCGAAGGCGGGUCUCUGGGCCGAUACUGACGCUGAGGAGCGAAAGCGUGGGGAGCGAACAGG